rnacentral:tRNA from 1 species
UUUUAUAUAGUUUAUUAAAAACUUUACAUUUUCAUUGUAAUAAUAGAUUCAAAUCUUAUAAAUA